UAUGUAUGUAUGUGUGUUAUCUGUUCUCUUUUAGUCAUUCUUCAUCCGUAGCUUAUUCAUUCUUCUUCUCUGGAUCUUCGACCAACUUACUGCUUUAGCUACUCCUUCAUCUACCUUUGGACGUACGUACUACACAGUGGUGUCGGUGUAGAUCCGGGGUGGCGAGGCAACAACAGCUCCGGCAAGGCAGCACGAGCUCCGGGGUAGCUUAAGGGGUGUAGAUCCGGGGUGGCGAGGCAACUACGACGAGCGAGCUUCGAGUGGCGGUGGUGUAGAUCUACGUCUUCCAGCGGCGACGAGCGAGCUUCGAGCGGCAGCGGUGUAGAUCUACGUCUUCCAGCGGCGAUGAGCGAGCUUUGAGCGACGGCGGUGUAGAUCCACGUCUUGCAGCGGCGAUGAGCGAGCUUCGACCGGCGGCGGUGUAGAUCUACGUAUUCCAGCGGUAAUAUAAUGAAGACAGGUUGGAGCUUCGACCUCCUUCUUCCUGCUUAGAUCUAUGGUUCCAGCGGUGGAGUGAUAGUAGCUCCGGUGGAAUACUUGGCCAUUUUCUUCGGCGACGUAGGUAGCACUGAAUUCAUCUGGACUUCGGAUAAUCCGAGAGACUGAGACUAACUGCUAGAUGAUAAAAGCAGAUAUGGUAACGAAUCUCAAGAGUUUUUUAAUUCCUAAAAGUACUUGAAGUUGUGAUAGGCAAGAAGUAUAUCUCAGAUAAAGUUAAGAAGGACAACACACACAUCAUAUGUUUUGUCUUUGCUGAGAUAUUGUAAGUUCUCAAGAAGGUUGUCCAUGCUUUGCAAUUUCCGGUAUGGCCAUCGUUUAAUUCUCAAUUUUGUACACAUUCUCUUCAACUUAUCUUCACUUACAUUGAGCUCCCUUGCUGCUUGGGCUGCGGGUACAACUGGAGGCGCCUCAAGUGAAACAUCGUUCUGGCCACAUAGCAUGUCAUUCACAAGACCCCAGUCGAAAUCUAAUUGUUCGGCGGAGCAACAACUUUGUUGAAUUUGGUGUAAAGUUUUACCUGUUGUAGAUGAAGUUGGAUUAUUGAAGUGAUAAUCCAAGGGGUGGUUUUCAGCAUGAUUAAAAAAAUGACGGUAAUCUUGUUCAGGAGAAGAAAUAGGAAUUUCUUUAUCAUCCUCAUCCUCUAACUUCAAGAGUUUUAUUCGAGGCCAUCGGGAAAUUCCUAAUAUCCUGCACCUAUUCUUUAAUGUUGUGACACCAACCUUUAAUUGUACCGCUGCUUCACUAAUCGGAAGAUGGAAAUAACUUGAGAUCAUUUCCUUAGUGAUCGUUCUUGAAUCA